rnacentral:rRNA from 1 species
CGCGUAGGCGGUUUGUCGAGUUAGGCGUGAAAGGCCUGGGCCUUAACCCAGGAAUGGCGCUUGAUACUGACGAUCUGGAGAUCGGGAGAGGAGAGUGGAAUUCCCAGUGUAGAGGUGAAAUUCGUAGAUAUUGGGAAGAACACCGGUGGCGAAGGCGGCUCUCUGGCCCGCAUCUGACGCUAAGGCGCGAAAGCGUGGGGAGCAAACAGGAUUAGAUACCCUGGUAGUCCACGCUGUAAACGAUGAGUGCUAGGACGUUGGGGGCUUGGCUCCUCGGUGUCGCAGCUAACGCGGUAAGCGACUCCGCCUGGGAGUACGGUCGCAAGAUUAAA